ACGUAAGGUAUUAAAAUGAAAUUUUUUGAAAAUGUUGUAUGAGAUUGCAAUAAACCUCAAACAUAAGGUGGUAAAAUAUAAUUUACCGUAGAUGCAAUCAUGCAAUGACGAUUUUGUUUUGCAUUUUGUAAAGGCCGAAUUAAUGUACUUUAAUUUUCACUUUCGUUCUUUUAAUUUUACUUUUGGUUAAUAUUUUUCAUCCGUAUAAUUUUGUGAUCUUUUCACCUCAGUCCAACUUGUCAACUAACUUUAUGGUAUGUUUACAAACUCGUAAUCAUAAUCAAAACAUGGAAUUAGAUUUCAAUUACGGGAUGAAAAAUUUUAUUUGAACUCAUAUAACUUAUUUUUACACUUAACUUACUCUCUUCACCUAUAUUACUCUUAAUUAAACAAUCAAUAUCUCUUCAAACCCAAAUUUACCACCUAAACUACCCGCAUAAUCUAAUUCAAUAUAUAAAUUUUUUCUUAACCCAUUUAGAAAAAAAAAAAAAAAAAAAAGAACGCAUUAACCCGUUGGUUGUAAAUGGAAAAGUGGACAUAAUUAUAGCCUAUUUGAGUUGCAGCAUUUUGUGAUAACAACGCUUGUAGCAUGCAAAGCUCCAUGGGAAAUUCUUCUGAAAUUAAGUUAUUAUUCAACAUAAAAAGGAAAAGAUUUGGAAAACAGCAUUGUUGCCACCACCAUCUCAUAUGACCACUUUAUCAUGGUAAUAAUCACCAUGUUAAAUGAUUAAAAUUUGAAAAAC
rnacentral:lncRNA from 1 species